CAAGCUGAACUGAUUAGCUAAUAACUGUUGGUUUUCAUUAAACCCUGAUUAUCUCAUUAGCGCAUAUGUAGCCAAUAUGAAUUCCUUGAUCUUUCUUGGUAUUUAAAUAUACCAAAUCGAGAUAAAUGAAUUUCAGUAGUCAUCCUCUAUCCAUUAAGUCGAAUUAUUUUACUUGUGUUGGAAACAUUUUAGCAAUCAAAACUGGGUAUCUUUUUAGGUUUAGAGGAAAAAAUUAGGGCUCAGGUUUUGAGAGUAGAGAAGAGGAAGUGAGAUCUUGAGGAAGACUUUGAUUGAAGGUCAUUCAGAUAAGCUUUUUUUCUUUUUUUUAAUUUGUCAUCUUCUUUGGGAUGCUGUGUUUAUAGGUGAGAUCACGUGAUGAUGGAGAAGGUCACCAGAGCCAGGCACCUUGUCCACACACAGGGCUUCCUUCCUCCAUGACUUAACCCAGAGAUGUAGACGGCGGGGUCAACAUUAAAUACCACAAACAGGCAAAAGAGCUUCAGACAGAAGGAUCAUCUUCCUGAAGACAAAAUAAUCAUCAUCCUUUGAGGGCAAAGUGGGCAACGUUAUGGGAACUUGUUUGGAAUUGAGCCUUGAUUCUGAAAAGAAAGUAUCAGAGGGCAGCAUUUGAACUGGCAUUUAAGGUGUCAACCAGGGGGAAUUUGGUGCCGACCAGUAAAAGGGGAGAAUCAAAAACAGAAGCUCCAUCACCAGGGACAGGGCCAGACUCCUGACUAGAAACUCAGUGGAUGUGCUGAAUCAUUCGGAUACUUUCCAGAAAAUUAUUUUACCUACUCAGAAGGCUGGGCAUCAGCCAAAACUGUCUGGAAAACCACAAGGAAAGACAUUUCCAUGAAGUAACUAGAGUUUUGGGCUUCUACUCUAGAGGAAUAUAAGAGGAACUUUCUUUAAAGAGUAUGCAGGUGGUUCCUUUUAAGCUCACCUGUCUGGUUUUUCAAACAGAUCAAGGGGUGAUGGCAGGGAAACGUCUCCCCUGGAAAUCUCACCCCUCCAUUUGCUAAAGAGAAGGAGCUUCAAUCCCUUGACAGGAUGAUGAAACAAUAAUAAACUGAUGUGACCAAGUCUCAUGCCAGCAGUCCUACCUGUGGCCCACCCUUCUCGUGGCCAACAAUGGCUUUUCUUAAAUAAAUAAAAAUCAAGAUUUGUACCACUCCUGCUGUAAGCUCUUCAGUGGCUCAUGGAUGAAUGAACAGGAUCACCAUUGGCACACAAGUCCCCCCACAGAUCACCUACUCAUCUUUCCACCCCAGCUUUUGCCAUUCUCUCCCCAUCCCACAAAUCCAUUGCCAUCCAAAGAUAAGAAAGAUACCAGAUAGGGCUUCCCAGU
rnacentral:lncRNA from 1 species